rnacentral:lncRNA from 1 species
UCAGGACCAAUCAGGAGACUCUGAAGGGGAUGCAAUAUUAAGGAGUCCAAACGAGUAGUCCCAAGCCCGAACUGGACUCCAAGUUUCCCUCCACACCGGGCUUCAACCUUCAUUCUGAGCUACUGGGCUCUCCCGACAAUCUACAGAGGAGCACGUAGAACACAAAUCCACUCAUCCUCAGUCACAGAACUGCAUCCUACCAAGCAUAUUGUAAUGGACUGUGUCUGCGGAGAGGAAUCACCCUGAGCGUCUCUGGACCAGUAGAGUCAGCGGGGUUGGCGACAGCAUGGAGAUGAGGGUCAUUGCGCAACAGCAGGAGCAAAGGACAGGGUGGCGUCACAGCAGGGAGAUGCCAUGGCUCACAACACCACCCAGCUCUGGAGAUAAUGAAAAGUUGAAUGAUUCUGUAUGGAUCAAAGAAGGGGUCAG